rnacentral:rRNA from 1 species
GAGAGCGCGUGUCUUAGUUUUCGCUUUGCUCAUACAAUUAGGUCCUGAAAACAACGAACGUGACCGCAACCUCUUGUUGCCUUUAUACCAAACAUGUUUUGCGUCAAUUUUCGAAUUGCGCGCAUUUCAUGAAAAAAGGCUUUUUAAACUAGAAGGGACCGCUGUUACUUUCUUAACCCARAGGAAGGUUGCGGCAAUAACAGGUCUGUGAUGCCCUUAGAUGUUCCGGGCUGCACACGUGCUACAAUGAUUAUUGCAGUGAGCAUCUCAUUUUUACACACCGCAUGCGCGAGUCCAUUUAUUCACCUUCGGGUGUUUUAAAUGUGUAUCUCUGCGCGCGGUAAAGCCUGCUUCGACUAGUAAGUGGGUAAUCAAUUAGAAGUAAUGAUUUCCUUUUUUUUAGCACACAUAUAUACGGCGUCUAUGCCCGGGUUACCUUGUUGUAGCUUUUGUGCGUAUAGAUGUUUUUUCCGUAUGUGCGAUUGUCAAUUCAUGGUGGGGACAGACCAUUGUUAAUUGUUGGUCUCGGUCUUAACUAGGAAUGCCUUGUACGGGUCUUUGGUUCAACAAAUCACCCGGAAUACGUCCCUGCCCUUUGUACACACCGCCCGUCGCUCUUACCGGAUGGACUUCUCUGUGAGUUUGAGGGACUGGGAACGCAGGAAUUUAUUUCUGCACACGUAG